rnacentral:rRNA from 1 species
UCCGGUUGAUCCUGCCGGAGGCCAUUGCUAUCGGAGUCCGAUUUAGCCAUGCUAGUCGCGCGGGUUCAGACCCGCGGCGUAUAGCUCAGUAACACGUGGCCAAACUACCCUACAGACCGCGAUAACCUCGGGAAACUGAGGCCAAUAGCGGAUAUCACUCUCAGACUGGAGUGUCGAGAGUGAGAAACGUUCCGGCGCUGUAGGAUGUGGCUGCGGCCGAUUAGGUAGAUGGUGGGGUAACGGCCCACCAUGCCCAUAAUCGGUACAGGUUGUGACAGCAAGAGCCUGGAGACGGUAUCUGAGACAAGAUACCGGGCCCUACGGGGCGCAGCAGGCGCGAAACCUUUACACUGCACGCCAGUGCGAUAAGGGGACCCCGAGUGCGAGGGCAUAUAGCCCUCGCUUUUGUACACCGUACUGAGGUGUACGAAUAAGGACUGGGCAAGACCGGUGCCAGCCGCCGCGGUAAUACCGGCAGUCCAAGUGAUGGCCGCUAUUAUUGGGCCUAAAGCGUCCGUAGCCGGCCAGGCAAGUUCGUCGGGAAAUCCACCCGCUCAACGGGUGGGCGUCCGGCGAAAACUGUCUGGCUAGGGACCGGAAGACCCGAGGGGUACGUCCAGGGUAGGAGUGAAAUCCUAUAAUCCUGGACGGACCACCGGUGGCGAAAGCGCCUCGGGAAGACGGAUCCGACGGUGAGGGACGAAAGCUUGGGUCACGAACCGGAUUAGAUACCCGGGUAGUCCAAGCUGUAAACGAUGCUCGCUAGGUGUGGCACAGGCUACGAGCCUGUGCUGUGCCGCAGGGAAGCCGCGAAGCGAGCCGCCUGGGAAGUACGUCUGCAAGGAUGAAACUUAAAGGAAUUGGCGGGGGA